rnacentral:rRNA from 1 species
CAGGCCUAACACAUGCAAGUCGAGCGGGCACUUUCGGGUGUCAGCGGCGGACGGGUGAGUAACGCGUGGGAACGUGCCUUCUGGUUCGGAAUAACUCAGGGAAACUUGAGCUAAUACCGGAUACGCCCUUUUGGGGAAAGGUUUACUGCCGGAAGAUCGGCCCGCGUCUGAUUAGCUAGUUGGUGAGGUAACGGCUCACCAAGGCGACGAUCAGUAGCUGGUCUGAGAGGAUUGGCCCCCACAUGGGUACUGAGAUACGGACCCAACUCCUACGGGAGGCAGCAGUAGGGAAUAUUGGGCAAUGGAGGCAACUCUGACCCAGCCAUGCCGCGUGCAGGAUGAAGGCGCUCAGCGUUGUAAACUGCUUUUACUCAUGAAGAACUAUGGUCCUGCGGGAUUAUUUGACGGUAAUGAGGGAAUAAGCACCGGCUAACUCCGUGCCAGCAGCCGCGGUAAU